rnacentral:rRNA from 1 species
UACAGAGGGGGCAAGCGUUGUUCGGAAUUACUGGGCGUAAAGGGCGCGUAGGCGGCCUGUUAAGUCGAACGUGAAAUCCCCGGGCUCAACCCGGGAACUGCGUCCGAUACUGGAAGGCUUGAAUCCGGGAGAGGGAUGCGGAAUUCCAGGUGUAGCGGUGAAAUGCGUAGAUAUCUGGAGGAACAUCUGUGGCGAAGGCGGCCACCUGGACCAGCACUGACACUGAGGCACGAAAGCGUGGGGAGCAAACAGG